UACGAAGGGAGCUAGCGUUGUUCGGAAUAACUGGGCGUAAAGGGUGCGUAGGUGGGCGUGUGCGUUAGAUGUGAAAUCCCCGGGCUUAACCUGGGAACUGCAUUUAAUACGGCACGUCUAGAGUGCGAGAGGGGAAAGCGGAAUGGCGAGUGGAGCAGUGAAAUGCAUUGAGAUCCGCUAGAACACCAGAGGCGAAGGCGGCUUUCUGGCUCGCUACUGACACUAAGGCACGAAAGUGUGGGGAGCAAACAG
rnacentral:rRNA from 1 species